rnacentral:rRNA from 1 species
AGAGUUUGAUCCUGGCUCAGGACGAACGCUGACGGUGUGCUUUAGACAUGCAAGUCGAACGAGAAAGCCCUUCGGGGUGAGUACAGUGGCGAACGGGUGAGUAACACGUGGGUAACCUGCCCCUCGCAGGGGGACAACCGGGGGAAACCCCGGCUAAUACCCCGUACGCUCCGAGGUCCGCAUGGUCCUCGGAGGAAAGGUAGCUUCGGCCAUCCGGCGAGGGAUGGGCCCGCGGUCCAUUAGCUAGUUGGUGGGGUAAUGGCUCACCAAGGCGACGAUGGAUAGCUGGUCUGAGAGGAUGAUCAGCCACACUGGGACUGAGACACGGCCCAGACUCCUACGGGAGGCAGCAGUCGGGAAUCUUGCGCAAUGGGCGAAAGCCUGACGCAGCAACACCGUGUGGGCGACGAAGGCCUUCGGGUCGUAAAGCCCUGUUGUUGGGGACGAAGGGCGAAGGGUUAAUAGCCCCUAGCUUGACGGUACCCUUCGAGGAAGCCCCGGCUAACUACGUGCCAGCAGCCGCGGUAAUACGUAGGGGGCGAGCGUUGUCCGGAAUUAUUGGGCGUAAAGAGCGUGUAGGCGGUUUGGUAAGUCUGCCGUGAAAACCCGGGGCUCAACCCCGGGCGUGCGGUGGAUACUGCCAGGCUAGAGGAUGGUAGAGGCGAGUGGAAUUCCCGGUGUAGCGGUGAAAUGCGCAGAUAUCGGGAGGAACACCAGUAGCGAAGGCGGCUCGCUGGGCCAUUCCUGACGCUGAGACGCGAAAGCUAGGGGAGCGACAGGAUUAGAUACCCNNGUAGUCC